GACGAACGCUGGCGGCGUGCUUAACACAUGCAAGUCGAACGGUGAAGCGCCUUCCUUUUUGGUGGGUGUGGAUGAGUGGCGAACGGGUGCGUAACACGUGAGUAACCUGCCCCCUUCUUCUGGAUAACCGCAUGAAAGUGUGGCUAAUACGGGAUAUUCUGGGUCUGUCGCAUGAUGGGUCUGGGAAAGAUAUUGUUUCGGUGGGGGAUGGGCUCGCGGCCUAUCAGCUUGUUGGUGGGGUGAUGGCCUACCAAGGCGGUGACGGGUAGCCGGCCUGAGAGGGUGGACGGUCACACUGGGACUGAGACACGGCCCAGACUCCUACGGGAGGCAGCAGUGGGGAAUAUUGCACAAUGGGCGCAAGCCUGAUGCAGCGACGCCGCGUGAGGGAUGGAGGCCUGCGGGUUGUGAACCUCUUUCGCCAGUGAAGCAGGCCUGCCUCGUUUGUGGGUGGGUUGACGGUAGCUGGAUAAGAAGCGCCGGCUAACUACGUG
rnacentral:rRNA from 1 species